rnacentral:rRNA from 1 species
UACGGAGGGUGCAAGCGUUAUUCGGAAUUACUGGGCGUAAAGCGUGCGUAGGCGGUUUGUUAAGUCUGUUGUGAAAUCCCCGAGCUCAACUUGGGAAUUGCAAUGGAUACUGGCAGGCUGGAGUAUGGUAGAGGAAGGUGGAAUUCCCGGUGUAGCAGUGAAAUGCGUAGAGAUCGGGAGGAACACCAGUGGCGAAGGCGGCCUUCUGGACCAAUACUGACGCUCAUGCACGAAAGCGUGGGGAGCAAACAGG